UGAGGAAUAUUGGACAAUGGGCGAGAGCCUGAUCCAGCCAUGCCGCGUGCAGGAAGACUGCCCUAUGGGUUGUAAACUGCUUUUGUACGGGAAGAAACCCCCCAACGUGUUGGGGGCUGACGGUACCGUAAGAAUAAGCACCGGCUAACUCCGUGCCAGCAGCCGCGGUAAUACGGAGGGUGCGAGCGUUAUCCGGAAUCAUUGGGUUUAAAGGGUCCGUAGGCGGGCGAUUAAGUCAGGGGUGAAAGUCUGCGGCUCAACCGUAGAAUUGCCCUUGAUACUGGUUGUCUUGAAUUACCGUGAAGUAGUUAGAAUGAGCAGUGUAGCGGUGAAAUGCAUAGAUAUUGCUCAGAAUACCGAUUGCGAAGGCAGGCUACUAACGGUACAUUGACGCUGAGGGACGAAAGCGUGGGGAGCGAACAGGAUUAGAUACCCCCGUAGUCC
rnacentral:rRNA from 1 species